AGGGAAUAUUGGUCAAUGGACGCAAGUCUGAACCAGCCAUGCCGCGUGCAGGAUGACAGCUUUCUGAGUUGUAAACUGCUUUUAUAUAGGAACAAAGAGGCCCUGCGGGCAAGUUGCGUGUACUAUAUGAAUA
rnacentral:rRNA from 1 species